GAUGAACGCUAGCGGCAGGCUUAAUACAUGCAAGUCGAGGGGCAGCGCGGGUAGCAAUACCUGGCGGCGACCGGCAAACGGGUGCGGAACACGUACGCAACCUUCCCAAAACUGGGGAAUAGCCCUCCGAAAGGAGGAUUAAUACCCCGUAACAUAACGAAGUGGCAUCACUUUGUUAUUAUAGUUCCGACGGUUUUGGAUGGGCGUGCGCCUGAUUAGGUAGUUGGCGGGGUAACGGCCCGCCAAGCCUGCGAUCAGUAACUGGUGUGAGAGCACGACCAGUCACACGGGCACUGAGACACGGGCCCGACUCCUACGGGAGGCAGCAGUAAGGAAUAUUGGUCAAUGGACGCAAGUCUGAACCAGCCAUGCCGCGUGAAGGAUGAAGGUCCUCUGGAUUGUAAACUUCUUUUAUAUGGGACGAAAAAGGGCAUUCUUGCUCACUUGACGGUACCAUAGGAAUAAGCACCGGCUAACUCCGUGCCAGCAGCCGCGGUAA
rnacentral:rRNA from 1 species